rnacentral:rRNA from 1 species
UACGAAGGGGGCUAGCGUUGCUCGGAAUUACUGGGCGUAAAGGGCGCGUAGGCGGACAGUUUAGUCAGAGGUGAAAGCCCAGGGCUCAACCUUGGAAUUGCCUUUGAUACUGGCUGUCUUGAGUUCGGGAGAGGUGAGUGGAAUGCCGAGUGUAGAGGUGAAAUUCGUAGAUAUUCGGCGGAACACCAGUGGCGAAGGCGGCUCACUGGCCCGGUACUGACGCUGAGGCACGAAAGCGUGGGGAGCAAACAGG